GAUGAACGCUGGCGGCGUGCCUAAUACAUGCAAGUAGAACGCUGAAGAGAGGAGCUUGCUCUUCUGGGAUGAGUUGCGAACGGGUGAGUAACGCGUAGGUAACCUGCCUGGUAGCGGGGGAUAACUACUGGAAACGAUAGCUAAUACCGCAUAAUAUGGUUUACCGCAUGAUACUCUAUUGAAAGGUGCAAAUGCAUCACUACCAAGUGGAAUUCCGUGGUAUUAGCUAGUUGGUGGGGUAACGGCUCACCAAGGCGACGAUACGUAGCCGCCCUGAGAGGGUGAUCGCCCACACGGGAACUGAGACACGGCCAAGACCCCACGGGGAGGAACCAGAGGGGAACCUCGGGCAAGGGGCGAAAGCUGGACGGAGAAAGGCGGGGUGGUUGAGGAAGGUCUCCGGUCGGUAAAACCUGUUUAUUGGGAAAGAAGAGAUGGAGAGUGAAAUGUUCACGCUGUGACGGUACCUAACCAGAAAGCGACGGCUAACUACGUG
rnacentral:rRNA from 1 species